AUACGGAGGGGGCUAGCGUUGUUCGGAAUUACUGGGCGUAAAGCGCGCGUAGGCGGCUUGGUAAGUCGGAUGUGAAAGCCCUGGGCUCAACCUGGGAACUGCAUUCGAAACUGCAUGGCUAGAGUAUGGGAGAGGGAAGUGGAAUUUCCGGUGUAGCGGUGAAAUGCGUAGAUAUCGGAAGGAACACCAGUGGCGAAGGCGACUUCCUGGCCCAAUACUGACGCUGAGGUGCGAAAGCGUGGGGAGCAAACAGGAUUAGAAACCCCAGUAGUCC
rnacentral:rRNA from 1 species